GACGAACGCUGGCGGCGUGCUUAACACAUGCAAGUCGAACGGAAAGGCCCUGCUUUUGUGGGGUGCUCGAGUGGCGAACGGGUGAGUAGCACGUGAGUAACCUGCCCUUGACUUUGGGAUAACUUCAGGAAACUGGGGCUAAUACCGGAUAGGAGCUCCUGCUGCAUGGUGGGGGUUGGAAAGUUUCGGCGGUUGGGGAUGGACUCGCGGCUUAUCAGCUUGUUGGUGGGGUAGUGGCUUACCAAGGCUUUGACGGGUAGCCGGCCUGAGGGGGUGACCGGCCACAUUGGGACUGAGAUACGGCCCAGACUCCUACGGGAGGCAGCAGUGGGGAAUAUUGCACAAUGGGCGGAAGCCUGAUGCAGCAACGCCGCGUGCGGGAUGACGGCCUUCGGGUUGUAAACCGCUUUCGCCUGUGACGAAGCGUGAGUGACGGUAAUGGGUAAAGAAGCACCGGCUAACUACGUG
rnacentral:rRNA from 1 species